GCUUUCACUUCUACCUACAUAACAUUUUACCAAAAAGACUUUUCUGUCAAUACAUUUCUUUUUCAAUGCCUGCGUAAUCAUUCUCCUGUAUUUUACUUAAUUGUUGGCAGGAUUUUCACAGUGUUUCCUAAGCCAUGGGCUAUGCCCAUGAGACAAAAUGCUUUCCUUCUAGAACUCCCAGGCUGGUUGAGCCCCCAAAGGCUGGCAGUUUCCACUUAAUGUAAUAAACAGCAGGGGUGGAUGCUGUGCUGCAUGCAAUGGAAGCUUGCAAGGGGGUAGGGGGGCAAGGGCUCAGUCAAGGAAGGCUUUGUGGGGAGAAGACACUGUUACCUCGAAUCUUGAAGAAGGAGCAGGAGCCCCCAAAUGUAGAGGCUGGGACAGAAUGGAGGGGCCCCUGGUGCAAUGGGACUUACCAACACUGCCCCCCACCCCCACCCCAACCCAGCCCUGGCUCUGGUGGUUUGUUUCUGCUUUUCCUUUGGAGAUGACACAUUCAGCGACCUAGGGCUCCAGCUGUUUAUCAGGGGCCAUCCCAGGGGCAGGGGCUCCCACCCCCUGCUACGGAGCUGUGGGGCCCUGAUUAAGGAAACAGCUGAGACAAGGCACCCAGGGCAGAGGGGGCAGGGCAGAGGGGGCGGGAGAACCGGAAGGCCUUGGUGGGGAACGGAGGCCGGAGGCCGAGAGCUGCUGGAGAGGAGCAGGCCGCAGAGCAGGAGAGAGCCCAGACGGGCCCUUUUGUGCUUCAAGGCAUGCCCCCACCCCCCUCCACCUAGUGAAAGGCUCCUUCGGAUGGCACCUCCCCUGUGAGUCCAUUCAUUCAUCAAAAAUGUCCUGAUGGCAUCACUUAGAAUUAAUCUGUCUCCUUUGUUCACUUAGCAGGUCAGCCUUUUGCAGUUGAAAGAGUGUGAACUCUGGAAUCAAAAAUCAUACUAGAGAUGCCUGGGUGGCUCAGUGGCUGAGCAUCUGCUUUUGGCUCAGGGCGUGAUCCCUGGGUCCUGGAGUCCCAGUCCCACAUCCAGCUCCCCGCAGAGAGCCUACUUCUCCCUCUGCCUAUGUCUCUGCCUCUCUCUCUGUCUCCUAUGAAUAAAUAAAUGGAGAAAAUCUUUAAAAAAAGAAUCAUACUAGCAGAUCCUUUCUAAGCAUUUAACGUAUGCUAGGCACGAUGAUAAGAGUUUUGAAUCUGUUGUUCUAUUUGAAUCUAUUGUUUUCUCACUUUCCAACAGUCAGUGAGGUAACAACUAUUAUUAUCACCAUGGUUGUAGCAGAAAAAACUGGAGGGCAAAGGGUUUAGUAAGCCUAAAGCAUCA
rnacentral:lncRNA from 1 species